rnacentral:lncRNA from 1 species
UGGAGUAGGAUCCAUGGAUGUAUCUGGAUCAUCCUCGCAUUAUGGAUCCUAUUAUCCACAGCCACCUUAUGAUCCAUAUGCAUAUGGUGCAUCCGAGGCAUCAUCUUCUAGUGGUUACUACCCUAUGCAGUUUGGAGCAACUCCAGAAUCAGAUUUUGUUACUGGCAUAUUUGAAUGCACUCCUCCACAACCGUACCAUCAUCUCGAGGAUACUUCUCAGAGUCAGAAUUUUAGCGAGGCCUGAGAUGUCUUACAAUCCAGAGAGGAUGCCUUAUGGGAUGAUGAAUAUUCGAGGUACGAUGCAGCUUGACUAGAGGG